AAUUUUGGACAAUGGGGGAAACCCUGAUCCAGCCAUCCCGCGUGUAUGAUGAAGGCCUUCGGGUUGUAAUGUACUUUUGGCAGAUAAGAACAGGUAUCUCCUAAUACGAGAUACUGCUGACGGUCUCUUCAUAAUAAGCACCGGCUCACUACGUGCCAGCAGCAGCUUUAAUACGUAGGGUGCAAGCGUUAAUCGGAAUUACUGGGCGUAAAGCGUGUGUAGGCGGUUCGGAAAGAAAGAUGUGAAAUCCCAGGGCUCAACCUUGGAACUGCAUUUUUAACUGCCGAGCUAGAGUAUGUCAGAGGGGGGUAGAAUUCCACGUGUAGCAGUGAAAUGCGUAGAUAUGUGGAGGAAUACCGAUGGCGAAGGCAGCCCCCUGGGAUAAUACUGACGCUCAGACACGAAAGCGUGGGGAGCAAACA
rnacentral:rRNA from 1 species